UACGUAGGGUGCAAGCGUUAAUCGGAAUUACUGGGCGUAAAGCGUGCGCAGGCGGUUUUUUAAGCCCUAUGUGAAAUCCCCGGGCUCAACCUGGGAAUGGCAUUUGGGACUGCAAGGCUGGAGUUUGGCAGAGGAGACUGGAAUUCCUGGUGUAGCAGCGAAAUGCGUAGAUAUCAGGAGGAAUACCGAUGGCGAAGGCAGGUCUCUGGGCUAUAACUGACGCUCAUGCACGAAAGCGUGGGGAGCAAACAGG
rnacentral:rRNA from 1 species